CAAACACAAAAGAAUCACAGGCGUUGCAUAAACUGGUAAUUUGUGGCGCCCGCUAGUGGUCACACACAGUCACCAUUUGAGGAGUUUUAAACGUUUUUCAAUGCGCUGUCUGUGAAUGUUAUAUGGAAGCAAUUUCCAUGAAAAAAAAAAAGCCCAACACAAAGUCAUAAUUACGAAAUUUAAAGUCAUAAUUUUAAGAUUCAAAAUAACAACUUGAACUUUGAAAGUCAAAUUUUGAGACUGAAAGACAUAAAAAGCACUUCUUCAUUGAUUUUAUAUAACUUAGCUUAUAAUAACCUGCACUGGAGAGCAGAGGUGCGUAGUAAUUGGUUACAUUUACUCCGCUACACGUAAUUGAUGAACUUUUUACAGUAAUACACAGUAAUUUUUUACUUCUGCUUGAGUAAUAUUGUUAUUAUUAGUAUCACUAAGAUUUCUGAACACUUUUUCUACCUUCUGUUAGCAAAUUUUACUGAUGGAAAAAACACUGAACCACAAACACCACAAACAGGCACACAGUUUAUGUUGAAGUGAGACAUCUUGUUUAUUUUGUUGUUCUAAUUUUAUUUUCAGUUUUGCCAUGUGCUGACAUGAAUAUAUAGAAUUUUCACUGGGAUAUUUUUGACCCUGUUCAAACACAGAAACACGACCUCCUGCAAGUGUUUGUGUCAUAAAAUUAUUAUUAUUAUUACAUUUUUCUUCUGCCUGAAUAGGGUUAGGGUUAGUAUUUUGUAAAAAUGUUAGGGUUUAGUAUUUAAAAUUCCAAAAUUUUUACAUUAUUUUAUAUUUUUAUCUGUCUAACAUAUUUUUGAAAGAUUUAUUCAGGUGUUAUGGUCAGUUUUUCAGCACUACCUACUUGUGUGAAAAUAUGUAGAAGUAGUGUUACUCUUUCCUGAGUAAAAUCUUUGGUUCCUGGCCGUGGAAGACAUUACUUGGGUCUGCGCAGGCGCAAAGAAACGAGUUAGCACGAAUAGAAAGAACAUCAGUUUUCAGUGGCUCGAACCGGUACCAAAGCGAUUCAGAUCGGAAAACGGGUCGUUCUGGUCGUCUAUGUGUUCGGAUGGUCUUUUGUAAUACUUUAACCUGGUCGCUGUGCCGUUAUGUCGGAACAGUGAACAGCCGAGGCGCUGCUAGCUCACUCCGACCCCCAGCUGAGGACGUCUCCUCUAAUGAGCACAUCUUCUGGAACAUUCAUCAGCUCCAGAGGAAGGCAGAUAUUGGUGUGCCCUUUGCCCUCAUCACUGGGCCGUGUGUGGGUGUUGACCAGUCAACAUCUCACCUUCAUGGUGAGCAGUCUCUGGGCGAGGUAGACCUCGGGGUCCUGGAUGCACUGAACUGUUCCAGCACAAACACAGAACCAUGAGGAGUUGAUCAAUCAGCCCAACAAUCAGCAAACCUCUAACCCGGGACUCACCUAAAACUCUCAGGCCGAGCCGGAAGUCUCCUGAGAAGCGUUUCUCCACCAGCUGAUCCACCGUCUGCCCCGUCUCCAGCUCCAGCUCCAUCAACACUGCCAGACGUUCACAGUGAGCAUCUCAGCUCCACCUGCAGGCUGCAGCCAGUCACACACUCACCUUUAUCCAGGUGAUCCGAGUCUCUGGACGUCAAGAUGCUGAUCCAGGGUCCGGCUUCUGCUUUCUUCUCACUGAGAGACGCAGCGAGAGCCUGGGAACGUAGCAGAGCAGAGCUGGAGCUCAGGCAGAUGGAGUGGAAAUGAUCCGGACUGCAUGAGGAGCAGAAAAUACCUGAACGUCUCUCUGGACAGAGCUUGCAGUAACGGCUUUCUGUUGGAACAAAAUGGAGGACAAAACAACACGCUUCACCUUCCUACUGGGACUAAACCAGUUUUAUGCACAUUAUUCAGAUUAAUUCCAUCCAAAGAUGGGCUGUAAAUGUCUUUGCCCAAAAAUCCAGAAAACAAUUUGCUCUAAAUUAACCAAAUUUAUAUUUUUUCCUGCAACAGAAUCUUGGAGGGAAUAUAAAGAGUUUCCUGCAUCUCAUCUUCUUUUCUUUGUCAUCAGAGUUAAAUAAUAUUCAGUAGGAAUGUAAACUAUUAAAAGACUUAUGAUUAA